UACAGAGGAUGCAAGCGUUAUCCGGAAUGAUUGGGCGUAAAGCGUCUGUAGGUGGCUUUUUAAGUCCGCCGUCAAAUCCCAGGGCUCAACUCUGGACAGGCGGUGGAAACUACCAAGCUGGAGUACGGUAGGGGCAGAGGGAAUUUCCGGUGGAGCGGUGAAAUGCGUAGAGAUCGGAAAGAACACCAGUAGCGAAGGCGGCUCGCUGGGCCACACCUGACGCUGAGACGCGAAAGCUAGGGGAGCGAACAGG
rnacentral:rRNA from 1 species